rnacentral:rRNA from 1 species
CCUACGGGAGGCAGCAGUGGGGAAUAUUGCACAAUGGGGGAAACCCUGAUGCAGCGACGCCGCGUGAGUGAAGAAGUAUUUCGGUAUGUAAAGCUCUAUCAGCAGGGAAGAAAAUGACGGUACCUGACUAAGAAGCCCUGGCGAACUACGGGCCAGCAGCCGCGGGAAUACGUAGGGGGCAGGCGUUAUCCGGAUUUAAUGGGUGUAAAGGGAGCGGAGGCGGUAGGGUAAGUCUGAAGUGAAAUGUGGGGGGACAACCCCGGGAUUGCAUAUGAUAAUGAUAAGCUAGAGUACUGGAGAGGUAAGCGGAAUUACUGGUGUAGCGGUGAAAUGCGUAGAUAUUAGGAGGAACACCAGUGGCGAAGGCGGCUUACUGGACAGAAACUGACAUUGAGGCACGAAAGCGUGGGGAGCAAACAGGAUUAGAUACCCCUGUAGUC